CAUUUUAUUUAAGUUGUUGAUAUGCCCUGAUAACCACCUUACCUAUAACUUACUGUCAAUCUACGUCCGCAAUUUGAAGCAAACUUGACGGAAAGAGUUGGCAAAGCGAGCGAUUACCUAUUAGUUACCUAUAACUUACUCUGC